rnacentral:rRNA from 1 species
UACGGAGGGUGCAAGCGUUAUCCGGAUUCACUGGGUUUAAAGGGUGCGUAGGCGGAUAUGUAAGUCCGUGGUGAAAUCUCUGGGCUUAACCCGGAAACUGCCAUGGAUACUAUGUGUCUUGAAUGUUGUUGAGGUGAGCGGAAUAUGUCAUGUAGCGGUGAAAUGCUUAGAUAUGACAUAGAACACCAAUUGCGAAGGCAGCUCACUAAGCAAAUAUUGACGCUGAGGCACGAAAGCGUGGGGAUCAAACA